rnacentral:tRNA from 3 species
GUCCCGUUCGUCUAGAGGCCCAGGACACCGCCCUUUCACGGCGGUAACACGAGUUCGAAUCUCGUACGGGACGCCA